GCUGUGGUUCAGUGGUAGAGCAUCUGUUUUGCAUGCAGAAAGAUUCAGGUUCAAUCCCCAAUGGAUUCA